rnacentral:sRNA from 1 species
UGCUGGAACGUGCUACAUGGGUGCGAUCCAGUUGUUCCUUGAGGAGAUUAUGGGAAUAAAGGGUGUUGAAGCUGCCGACCUUGAAGCUCUAGUUGUCAAACAUGUGGCUGUUAAGAGCCUGUUGGUAAAUGCAACUCGCACCAACAACGAGCAAGCCAUUGCCCGCAUCCCAGCCCUUCCCGAAACGAAGGCUAUCCCAAACGGCAAACCCCAAGCCCAAACCCACGAGGAUAAAGACGAGAGCGGCCCACUCAGCAACGCAACGGAGCUCAAAACCAUCAAAGAUAGCCUCUCCCGCAUCCUAACAACCUUCUCCAACGCACAGAGGGAAUACAAAUUGAUCUCAGAAAGCGACGUCGUCGCAAAGUCCCGCGCCGCCAAAUUUCUCCGUGACACUGCUGAAAACGCCCUCAACUAUUUGCAUGCCCGCAACAUGGAGCACGACAUGGUCCCGACGCUGGAGGCGGCGUUCCAGAUGGCGAAGGAGAAGGCA